rnacentral:rRNA from 1 species
GUCUACGGCCAUGCCACCCUGAACAAGCCCGAUCCUGUCUGAUCUCGGAAGCUAAGCAAGGUCGGACCUGGUUAGUACUUAGAUGGGAGACCACCUAGGAAGACCAGGUGCUAUAGGUA